rnacentral:lncRNA from 1 species
AAACAUGUUUCAUGCACGUUCAAAAUAUGUUACAUAUUACCUGUCCUAAUUAUUAGAUCACUUGUUUUUUUGUUGUUGUUGUUUUACCUUACCCUAGUGAGAAAAUGUACAUGAAACACAAAUACGCACUGUCCCCACUAUUUUCAAGUUUCAAGGUUUAUUUGUCAAAUGCACCGAAUAUUACAGCGUCAUCCUGCACAAUGAAAUUAUUGUGAAAUGGCACCAGACAACUACAUAGUUAGGCCAUAUUUAUAGAUUUCUAUCUUCAGUUUUUAGUGAAUAACCUGAUAAAAAUCGUUGUUGUAGCUUAAAAAAUAAGAAGCCAAAAGAACGACUCCUCCACCAGCGCGAUUCGAUCCUUAACGUUCACCUAAAAGAGACGUUAAAAAGAGACGUUCGUUAGCGAACGACCCAUAAUUGUAGACCAGGUGUGUGCCUCGCCUUCUCUACAAGAACACUGUAAGGGAAGCAGUUCAGACAAAACGCUGCCUGUAACUACUGUAUAGUUUAAUUUGGAUACUUCAAGAUGUGGGGUCAAAACCAAGGAAACUUUUAUCCUCCUGGCUACCACGGGAACCCAAAUGUUCAACAGCCUGGGGGAUAUCCAGUGCCAGGGGGAUAUCCAGUGCCAGGGGGAUAUCCAGGGCAACAGCCAAUGCCAGGGGGAUACCCAGUGCCAGGGCAACAGCCAAUGCCAGGGGGAUACCCAAGCCCAGGGGGAUAUCCCCCUGGAAUGAUCCAGGCCCCAGUGGGUCCUUCUUACCAGCCCUAUCCAGUGCAGUGUACCUUUGGAUGUGUUGGGCAAUGUAGCCACGGGCACCACGGGCACCACGGGCACCACGGGCACCACGGGCACCACGGACACCACGGACACCACGGACACCAUGGACUCGUCCAGGGGAUUCUGAAUAUUGGAAGACACAAGCACAGGCAUGGCCAUUGGCAUGUUGGUUGUCACAAGAGGGGGAGGCAUUGUCAUGGGGAUUCCAGCAGCUCCUGCAGUAGUGACUCUGACUAAAGCCAGACUGACAUGAUAUCAUUCCUCUGAUGAGCCCUAACAGUCGUGGGCCCUGUUUUCUAAAAUAAAUCCAUCUGGAUUUCACUGGAUAUCAAUGCAUAUUGUUAGAAUGACUACAACUAUGUUUAGCUAAAUAUAUUGCUCUAAUCCCAAACUCUCAUCCUUAAUGUCUGUACUCCAGGCCAUUGAGCUACCUUGCUCAUGUCUUUAAAUGUCUGUGUAAUCUUUUUUGUGAAAUAAAAUAAAUAAUACUUUAUAGAGGAUUUCUCAUUUUUCUUUGUACAACAGCUGUCCAAUUAUGUGUAGAUCAUUACUAAAAGUAAUGUUUUGGAUAUGCCAAAUAAUGUGACCAUGACCAAAUGUUUUUAUUUUUGUUAAUGCAUAAUUUGUUGUGCCCAAUACUACAGUCAUGUGAAAAGUAGACCCCCUGGAAAGUUGUCUUUUUACAUAUUUGGGGGGGAAAGACAACUUCAGCACUUGACAGAUUAAGG